CACAAACAUCUACUGCAGUAGCCCUGAGAAGAAUGCAAAUCGCUGAGGUUGAAGAUAAUUCAUGUCAUAGUACUACAAAUAUCUUCUCGAAGGAGAGUUGUAAUGAAGUGAAUCAUCAGAUCUAAGAUUUAAUACGGUAAACAAGCCAGCAAUUUCUUCUCCCUCAGCAUGGAACUUUAUAUAAUGCAUUUGGAAAAAAAGACUCUGCUGCCAAUACUUUGACCGAUAGCAACAGAUCCAUGUUCAGCUCAACAGUGCAAUGUAAUGUAUACUAACUAAAGAGCAGCAAAUAGUUGACCACAUUGUUCACUCAGAUGCAGUGAAUAUACGCUUAUCUUCACGGAAAA